rnacentral:sRNA from 1 species
UUCUAAACCCGACAGCAGCGUAAAUACUUUUUGUUUGCAGCAAACACAUAAUAACCGGUGAUGCUGAGGUACGAAGCAUUUGUAACCUAUGAAACAGAUGCUUUGUGCCUCAGCAUCAUAGAAACUAACAAAAAGAUUGUAGCGAAUGGCGGGAACGAAC